rnacentral:tRNA from 1 species
GGUGCAGCUCAGUGGUAGAGUGCCUGCCUAGCAGGCAGGAGGCCCGGGGUUCCAUCCUCAGUACCA